UAGCUUUACUUUUCUACUUUUUACUUUUUUUUUACUUGAACUGUAAUGAUAUCCUCAUUGUUUGGGUCAAAAACAUUAUCAUGUUUUUAAUUUUCCUUUCUAAGAAAUGAGAACCAUGAGAAUAAUGAACCACUACAUACUUCCCAUGGUUGUACUAAGUCUUUCAUCACAAAUAAACCCACACCCUUCCACUUCUUUUCCAAACCACCACUCACAACAGUGAUGUCAUUUCUCAGUUGAUACUAUAUGAACAGUGCAGCUGACAUAGGAACUAAAUAAAUCGAGAAUGAAACUGUAAGGAUAUGAUUACUGGUGGAAUGAAUACUAUGUAAAACACUAUGCAAAGGCAUGAACGUUCAUGAAUGUUUCGUUUGUUUUCUUCUGCCAUCUGGAUGUCAUAAUUUGAACUUCUUGUGGAACGACCGCCAGCCGUAUGUUAUUUGGUAUCCGUUGGUGAUGCGUGGUGUUGUGCGGUUAUAAGGUGUUUAUCGGUUUAACCCCUCAGCGUCGGGGGCAUUUAAAUGUUAGCAGAAUGGCUUCAGUUUCGAGGAAAUGCAUGCCUUCUGGCUACAAAAAGGAAACGCAUAAUACCUUGCGUGAUCCCCCGUGUUAUGCGGAUGGAGAAGCUGCUAAUACUAUAGUAAAAGAACUCGAUAUUGACUGUCAUGAUGAGAUGGCUUUGAAAAUUGAAGAUGAAAUUGCGAGUGAAGAAUUCGAUAGUGACUGUGUUGAUGAGAUGGAUAUGGAAAUUAAAACUGAAAUUUUGAGUGAAGAACUCUAUAUUGACUCUGACGAUGAGAUGGAUUUGGAAAUUAAAGUUGAAAUUGCGAGUGAAGAAUCGAGCAGUGAAAAGUCGGAAAGUGGUACGGAGAGUGAAACGAGUUUUGUUCGUGUUCAUGUGUGGCAAGACGUGACAGUGGGCGACAAGAAACCCAGGGAAUACACAUUUACUAAAAAUGCAGGGCCACAACUUAACCUUCUGCCAGAUGCAGAGCCCACGGAUUAUUUUAAUUUAUUUUUCAACAACGAGCUUUUGAAUAACAUUAUUGGAGAGACGAACAGAUACGCGAGAGACAAAAUUGCGGAACUUCAGCUAAGCCCGAGGUCUAUUUGGAGUAGGUGGUCUGAUGUCUCUACUCCUGAAAUGAAGGCGUUUUUAGGUCUAAUUAUAAACAUGGGCCUAAUCCCAUUACCCGACGUAAAAGACUAUUGGUCUAGUGAAUGGACAACACAGAUAAAAUUUUUUGGUGACGUAAUGUCUAGAAAUCGCUUUUUGCAGAUAUUUUGGAUGAUGCACGUGGGAAAUGAUACCACCGAAGAAAGCAGUCGAGCCAUCAAAAGAACAAAGAAAGUACAUGGGGUUAUAGAACAUAUGGAGAAACAGUUUAGAAAUAUUUUGUGCCAGGUAAAAACAUUGCAAUAGAUGAAUCAACAGUUGGGAUGAAGGGCAAAAUAAUUUUCAAAACUUAUGAUCCAAAAAAACCAACGAAGUGUGGUAUAAGAUUAUUUGUAUUGGUUGACAGUGACACUGGUUAUGUUCACAGUAUAAUUCCAUAUUAUGGAAAACUUACAGGUGACGUGUACAACUUGCCAUACUCAGAAAAACCGUUAACUUCAAGAAUAGUUCUUUCCUUGAUGGACAAACUAGGACUCAGUGUGUCUGGUGUUGAAGGCUACCACCUUUUCACUGACAGAUAUUAUAGUAGUGUUAAGUUGGCCCAAGAAUUGGACAAUCAAAAAUGUCACACAACAGGCACUAUUAUUGCUGAUAGAGUUGGUAAUCCAAAACCAGUGAGGCAGGGUGCCAUGAAGAAAAUGAAGAGUGGGGACACUUGUUCCUACAGAAGUAGGAAUGUCCUGCUAAUGGGCUGGAAAGACAAGAGGGUGGUUCUCAUGAUGUCUACAUAUCAUGACACAUCCAUGGAAAAAAUAGUGACCAUUCAGAAAGGGGGGCAGCAGAAAGAAAUUCAAAAGCCAGUGUGUGUACUUGACUAUGCAAAGCAUGUGGGUGGUAUAAAUCGCAGUGAUCAUUACUGCGCAACAUAUGCUUUCAUUCGGAAAUCUCUGAAGUGGUGGAGAAAACUCUUUUUCUGGUGUCUGGAAGUGUGCAUUGUAAAUUCAUACAUUUUGUACAGCAGCCAUAAGACACACAUGGGAGUGAAACUGAUGUCACAUGUUAGGUAUUGAAGAACUCUUGCUGAAAAUUUAAUAGGUGAUGUGCGCAAUCCAAGAAAGCGGUCACAUCUGGGGUCAGCUGAGAGAGAAGAGAGACUAAAUGUAGCGUCUCACUUCCUCUACCACUAUGAAAAAAAGAAACACAAGGACUGCAUCGUGUGCAGCAAUCGGAAGGUCAAGGGGGCCAGAAAAGAAACAUAUUUCUAGUGGUUGCUGAAACAGAUGCUGAAGUCCAGCAACGCUUACAGAAGUGGAAUAAAUUCUUGGAAUUGGGAGGCAUUGCAGCUGGACAUACAUCAGAAGAGAAUAAAGGGAAAACAGAUGUUACAGAACAAAAUGUAACUAGUGCAAAGGGCAGAGAAUAGGAGGAUAUUACUAAGAAUAUUUAUGCAGAUUCUCAGGUGUGUUUGUCCACACAUGAAGGUAGAGGAUGCAUCUAAAGUACAAAAGUGAGAAGAGGGUGUUAAGGGUAGUAGUGGUAUUGUAGUUGAAGAAGGUGGUAGAUGUGCAGAAAGCACUGAUGACACAGAAGGUCAUAGGAAUGAAGAUGAUGAGAUUGAUGAAGGUAGGAGAAUAGUGAAAACUACAGCAUACGUUUAUGACACAAUUUAGUUAAUGACUUCAUCUUAUACCAUUCUCUGGUGAAUGUAAGGAUUUCUAUUCAUAGUGUAGAAAUUCCUUAAAUCUCCAUGCUUUAAAGAAAAUUACAGGUAUUUACUUCACAGUCUUGUCUCACAAAUAGUAUUGGAUGAGAAGAUGCCAUGAACAGUAAAACUAUUAAUCUUCCUCAGGUAGAAAUGUUUUAAUUAAUUUAUUCCAAGAAAGAAAAGUAACAUGGAAAGUUAUAUAAGGACAUCACUGCUUGUUUGCCAGAAACCAGUAUUUUAUUGAAGUGAAUUGACCUUAACUGUGAAUGCAGUAUUUUUAGCCAAGGAAAUGAUAGAUCACUAGCAUUUGUUGGCAUUGUGGUGGUUGUGUUUUUUGGUUUGUAAAAUAAAAUGACACAUAUUUUGACCACUGUUCACAGUAGGCUAAAAUGAUUCCUAAAGAAGUUGCUGAUUUAAUUUUCAAGUGCAAGAAAACAGCCUAUGAAUACAUUUUGUGUUCAAAAGAAAACAUGAUUUUACAAUUUAUGUAUUAAACAGCAGAUAGCUGAGCCUUAUACCUUAUGUCCAAAAAGUAUCUGACUUUAUUUUUUUCCACUGUAAGUAAUGGCCAAAGGGGUAGGGAUGUGUCUGU